GACGAACGCUGGCGGCGUGCCUAAUACAUGCAAGUCGAACGCUUUUUCUUUCACCGGAGCUUGCUCCACCGAAAGAAAAAGAGUGGCGAACGGGUGAGUAACACGUGGGUAACCUGCCCAUCAGAAGGGGAUAACACUUGGAAACAGGUGCUAAUACCGUAUAACACUAUUUUCCGCAUGAAAGAAAGUUGAAAGGCGCUUUUGCGUCACUGAUGGAUGGACCCGCGGUGCAUUAGCUAGUUGGUGAGGUAACGGCUCACCAAGGCAACGAUGCAUAGCCGACCUGGGAGGGUGAUCGGCCACACUGGGACUGAGACACGGCCCAGACUCCUACGGGAGGCAGCAGUAGGGAAUCUUCGGCAAUGGACGAAAGUCUGACCGAGCAACGCCGCGUGAGUGAAGAAGGUUUUCGGAUCGUAAAACUCUGUUGUUAGAGAAGAACAAGGAUGAGAGUAAAAUGUUCAUCCCUUGACGGUAUCUAACCAGAAAGCCACGGCUAACUACGUGCCAGCCGCCGCUGUAA
rnacentral:rRNA from 1 species